UACGAAGGGGGCUAGCGUUGUUCGGAAUCACUGGGCGUAAAGCGCACGUAGGCGGAUCUUUAAGUCAGGGGUGAAAUCCCGAGGCUCAACCUCGGAACUGCCUUUGAUACAGCACGUCUCGAGUCCGGAAGAGGUGGGUGGAAUUCCUAGUGUAGAGGUGAAAUUCGUAGAUAUUAGGAAGAACACCGGUGGCGAAGGCGGCCCACUGGUCCGGUACUGACGCUGAGGUGCGAAAGCGUGGGGAGCAAACAGG
rnacentral:rRNA from 1 species